rnacentral:rRNA from 1 species
GACGAACGCUGGCGGCGUGCUUAACACAUGCAAGUCGAACGGAAAGGCCCUGCUUUUGUGGGGUGCUCGAGUGGCGAACGGGUGAGUAACACGUGAGUAACCUGCCCUUGACUUUGGGAUAACUUCAGGAAACUGGGGCUAAUACCGGAUAGGAGCUCUUGCUGCACGGUGGGGGUUGGAAAGAUUCGGCGGUUGGGGAUGGACUCGCGGCUUAUCAGCUUGUUGGUGGGGUAGUGGCUUACCAAGGCUUCGACGGGUAGCCGGCCUGAGAGGGUGACCGGCCACAUUGGGACUGAGAUACGGCCCAGACUCCUACGGGAGGCAGCAGUGGGGAAUAUUGCGCAAUGGGCGGAAGCCUGAUGCAGCAGCGCCGCGUGCGGGAUGCCGGCCUUCGGGUUGUAAACCGCUUUCGCAGGUGACGAAGCGUGAGUGACGGUAAUGGGUAAAGAAGCACCGGCUAACUACGUG